UGGGGAAUAUUGGACAAUGGGGGCAACCCUGAUCCAGCGAUGCCGCGUGGGUGAAGAAGGCCUUCGGGUUGUAAAGCCCUUUAGGUUGGGAAGAAGUGCAGUAGUUUAAGAGAUGACUGCAUUGACGGUACUAACAGAAUAAGCACCGGCAAACUCUGUG
rnacentral:rRNA from 1 species